rnacentral:misc_RNA from 1 species
AACCUAGCACACCUGCGGUGUGUACCUGCGGAAGGAUCAUUAUAGAGUUCUAAACUCCAAACCUUUGUGAACAUAUACGUGUUGCUUCGGCGGGUUGGGGGGCCCAGCGCCCACCGUCGCCCGCCGGGGACCCAAACUCUUGCCUUCUAGCGGAAUCUUCUGAGUGAAGGCAAAUAAAAUCAAAACUUUCAACAACGGAUCU